GGAAAAUAACGCAAGAAGUCACGUUCAGAUGCAGCUUUGCCUUUGUGCUGACGGCCGGACGGACAGAUUGCUCGGCCCGAGAUAAAUAAUGACGUGGCCUAAAGGCGUGUUGCCUCCAGACUGAUUGCUGCUGCAAAACAAAACCUGGGAAAAGAAGAAGAGCCGGAAGUGAUAUCACCCACCACGACAGACCAAGACAGAUAAUAACAAGUGGAACAGAACACCAAAGCUUCACUGGAGAUGAUGAUGUCACUAGCAUGGUGAUGAAAUGUCUGAGAACAAAUCUACCAGCUCAGCAAGCAAACUGACAACCUGAUCCACAAAUUGAGCUAUAAAUCUUCUCCAAAAUCACAACCAUUCAGUGUCAAUUGACUAAAGUGUUUCAAGAAAAGGACCACCAUUGCAUUUCAGUGCAACAACGGAUGGUCAAUAAAUGUUGCUCCUUUGAACCAUGGUCAUAUUCUUCUUUUUUGAUUCUUUAUAAUUGUUGUGAAGAAAAUGUAUGCAAAUUUUUAAUUUUACAAAAAUAGUUAAAAUAGUAACAUUGGUUUCUUUAUUGUUUGGAAAAAAGAGAAGGUAUUUCUUCACCCAAAGAGUGUUGAGCCUAUGGAAAUAUUUGCCACAGACAGUGGUUGAGUCAAAACCUAGAAAGAAGACAACUAUAGUUCUUAGGGCUAAAGGAAUCAAAAGGUAUGGGGAGAAAGCAGGAACAGGGUUCCUAGUUGGAUUAUCAGCCAUGAUCUUACUGAACAGAUUCAAAGGGCAAAAUAGUCUACUCUGAUUUGUAUAUUGUGUGGUUGAGCAAUAAGGAGAAAGUGAGGAUUGUCGAUGCUGGAGAUCACAGCUAAAAAAUCUGUUGCCUGGAAUUGUUCAGAUUCCUGAAGAAGGGCUUAUGCCCAAAACGUCGAUUCUCCUGCUCCUUUGAUGCGGCCUGACCUGCUGCGCUUUUCCAGCAACACAUUUUUCAGCUCUGGUUGAGCAAUAAG